rnacentral:rRNA from 1 species
CAUAUGCUUGUCUCAAAGAUUAAGCCAUGCAUGUCUGAGUACAGACCGAUCUAAGGUGAAACCGCGAAUGGCUCAUUAAAUCAGCUAUAAUUCCUUGGAUAGUGAAAAACUUUCCUCGGAUAACUGUGGAAAAUCCAGAGCUAAUACGUGCAACUGAGCUCCGACCUCGGCGUGAGUCGUGGGAAGAGCGCAUUUAUUAGAUUCAAAACUGACCGGCGUACUCCUUCGGGAUACGCCGUUUGUCAAAAGUUUGAUGAUUCCGGAUAACUUUAGCCGAGCGCUACGGUCUUUAGUACCGGCGCCGUAUCUUUCAAGUGUCUGCCUUAUCAGCUUUCGAUUGUAGGUUAAACGCCUACAAUGGCUGUAACGGGUAACGGGGAAUCAGGGUUCGAUUCCGGAGAGGGAGCCUGAGAAACGGCUACCACAUCUAAGGAAGGCAGCAGGCACGCAAAUUACCCACUCCCAGCCCGGGGAGGUAGUGACGAAAAAUAACGAUGCGAGACUCUUCCGAGGCCUCGCAAUCGGAAUGAGUCCAUUUUAAAUCCUUGGACGAGGAUCCAUUGGAGGGCAAGUCUGGUGCCAGCAGCCGCGGUAAUUCCAGCUCCAAUAGCGUAUAUUAAAGUUGCUGCGGUUAAAAAGCUCGUAGUUGGACUUUCUAGAUCCAUUUCGUGGAUGAGUCGCUCUUAGUACUAGCGUCUCGAUUCGUUCCUCGAUGACGUCGUCGCGCGUUAUUCUUUUUUUGGCUUCGGUCGAUUAAAGGUUUCCCGGCGUUACAGAUUCUUGUGGGCGGCGAGGCGUUGUCUUUGAGUAUAGCUCGUCCGCGUUUGGUACAAUUAAAAUUUUGUCGGCUCGCUCGGAGUGCUCUUUACCGAGUGUUCCAGGGUGGCUGACACGUUCACUUUGAAAAAAUUAGAGUGCUUAAAGCGGGCUUAUUUACGGCCUGAAUGUCUGUGCAUGGAAUGAAGUAACAGGACCUCGAUUCUGUUGUUUUUGUCGGUUUUAAUGAACCGAGGUAAUGAUUAAAAGGGACAGACGGUGGCAUUAGUAUUGCGGCGCUAGAGGUGAAAUUCUUGGACCGUCGCAAGACUAACUACUGCGAAAGCAUUUGCCGAGAAUGUUUUCAUUAAUCAAGAACGAAAGUUAGAGGAUCGAAGGCGAUCAGAUACCGCCCUAGUUCUAACCCUAAACUAUGCUAACUAGCGAUCCGCCGGAGUCAUUCCCACGACCCGGCGGGAAGCCCCAGGGAAACCAAAGUCUUUGAGUUCCGGGGGAAGUAUGGUUGCAAAGCUGAAACUUAAAGGAAUUGACGGAAGGGCACCACCAGGAGUGGAGCCUGCGGCUUAAUUUGACUCAACACGGGAAACCUCACCAGGCCCGGACAUCAUUAGGAUUGACAGGUUGAGAGCUCUUUCUCGAUUUGAUGGGUGGUGGUGCAUGGCCGUUCUUAGUUGGUGGAGUGAUCUGUCUGGUUGAUUCCGAUAACGAACGAGACUCUACCCUACUAACUAGUCGGCGGAUCGUAACCCUGAGAUGGUUAGUUUGUAUAGGAGAGUUUUGCCUAGGUGGAGGAUCUGUCGAGGGUAAGGUAGUCACCAAUUAGCUAUUUGCGAACGGUGGCCCGUCCUGAGAUUAGUGAUUUUGUCGAAGCGGCUUUCUGAUUACUACUACUGCUGGGGGCGUCCGUCGCAAUAUAUCUUCUUAGAGGGAUCAGCGGCGUAUAGCCGCACGAGAAAGAGCAAUAACAGGUCUGUGAUGCCCUUAGAUGUUCUGGGCCGCACGCGCGCUACAAUGUAGGGCUCAGCGUGCUUUCCCUCUCCGAAAGGAGCGGGUAACCCGUUGAAACCCCUACCCGAUUGGGAUUGGGGAUUGCAAUUAUUUCCCAUAAACGAGGAAUUCCCAGUAAGCGCGAAUCAUUAAUUCGCGUUGAUUACGUCCCUGCCCUUUGUACACACCGCCCGUCGCUACUACCGAUUGAAUGAUUGGGUGAGGGCAUCGGACUGGCCCUUCGGUUUAGUAACCUAGACCUUAGGCUGACGGAAAGAUGUCCAAACUGUAAUCAUUUAGAGGAAGUAAAAGUCGUAACAAGGUUUC